rnacentral:misc_RNA from 1 species
CAGGUUUGUCCCGCCGCCGCAACCGGCA